CUUUAACGCGGGGCAAACAGGGCAGCUGCCUCAGGCCCAGUUACUUUUGGGGAACCCAAAGCAACUAUCCCAUUGGGCCCCCUGCCCUCAACCAUAUAUUUUUCCCCUCCAUGGGCCCGCCAGUGCAGCUUGGGACCCGCAACUAAGGAUGCCCACUGGGUGGCACAUGCACUAAGGGCUACCUGGUGGCUUUGUAUGAGCAAGGGCCCAGU